rnacentral:rRNA from 1 species
GACAAACGCUGGCGGCGUGCUUAACACAUGCAAGUCGUACGGUAAGGCCCUUUCGGGGGUACACGAGUGGGGAACGGGUGAGUAACACGUGAGUAACCUGCCCACAACUUUGGGAUAACGCUAGGAACCUGGUGCUAAUACUGGAUAUGUGCUCCUGCUGCAUGGUGGGGGUUGGAAGGCUCCGGCGGUUGUGGAGGGACUCGCGGCCUAUCGGCUUGUUGGUGGGGUAGUGGCCUACCAAGGCGGCGACGGGUAGCCGGCCUGAGAGGGUGACCGGCCACAUUGGGACUGAGAUACGGCCCAGACUCCUACGGGAGGCAGCAGUGGGGAAUAUUGCACAAUGGGCGCAAGCCUGAUGCAGCAACGCCGCGUGCGGGAUGACGGCCUUCGGGUUGUAAACCGCUUUCAGCAGGGACGAAGCUUUUUGUGACGGUACCUGCAGAAGAAGCACCGGCUAACUACGUG